ACAGUAUGUACCUCUACUUCCUGCCUGGAGACUGGCCCGGUAUAGGAAGUCCAGCUCUGAUAACUCUGCCUCCUCAGGGUCACAGGGUUCAUGCUGUGCAGGGGCAGGCUGGGAGUUGUAUUUUCUGUGGGAGAGGUGUGCCUUAAUGGGGAGGCAGCGAUCUGGAGGUGUGUCAUAUGGCGUAACCACGGCAUCUGGGCGGUCCAAGCUCCAGGAGGACCAAUGACUUGUGAUGGUGUUGAAGGUGGAAACUUGAUUGGGCCAAUCAGAAGAGGCGGUGGGCGGGGAGGGGUGGGGCUGACUGCGGGAUGAGGGGGGUGGGCGGAGGGUCAGACUGUUUGUGUGGGGGCUCAGGGUCUGUAUACAUGUGUGGGGAGUCCGUGUUUGAAUGUGGGGGUCGUGUGUGUUGGGGGUCAGAGGGUGAAUGUGUGUGUGAGGGGGUAGUGUGUGUGUCUGAUAUAUCCCAGAGUCUGAGAGGUAAAGAGGGAAGAGAGAUGGCCAGGUGUCUGCCUAGAGGUCUCACACACACCCCCCCGACCUGUAACAACUCCUCCAGCCUCACCCCCUGCCUUUCCUCACCCCUCCUCAACCGCUCCUCCUCCUCAACUUUCCUCAGUCCCUGUCCCCCGACCUCACUCAUCCCCACAUCCUCCUCCCUCCUGACCCGUUCUCUCCCCUCUCCCCUGCUAAAAAGGCUGUCUCUCCCCUCCUCAACCUGUGCUGCGGUGUUGUCGGUGGGAGGGGGUUGGAGGGAUGAGUGGAGAGGGGUGAGGUUGGGGUAGGGUCUGUAGGAGAGAAGGGGCUGGCCAGGGCCCAGGGCUGCAUCCUGGUAGACUGGCCGGACCUCUUCCCCCUCCUGAUUGGGCGUCAGCAGUACUUGGAGCGGGCCAGGCUGUUCACUGAUUGGGCGACAAAAGAAAGGGCGGGACAGAGACGCUCAGCAGCCAUUCACAAUCAGAGUAAAUAAAGGAUGAAACAAAAACACACUUCAAAUGGAAUGUGUUGAAACAAAAGCAUCUUAUGUCAGGCUCAUGACUGUAAUGUAGGAUUCAUAAAGCUAUAAGGCACUUCAUCAUCUAGACACCAGUCAGCAAGCAAGCACACACACAAAAUCCACCACCCCCCACAUUAACUCUCUACAUCUCCGCUGGCUCAGGAAUUGCCCAGCAGCCUUUGCAGCAGUCGCCCAUUAAUCACAGCUCAAUGUUGAUCAAUAGAAGAGGAGAGGAAAAAAAUAUAAUAAGGGAAUAAAGAAUAAAUGAGAGAGCAGUUAAGAACAAGAGAGAGGAGGAGAGGAAGAGUGGAAUAAAUAACCAGACAGAGGAGAGGAAGAGUGGAAUAAAUAACCAGACAGAGGAGAGGAAGAGUGGAAUAAAUAACC
ensembl:lncRNA